GGGCCGUUAGCUCAGUCUGGUAGAGCGUCCGUCUCCAAAACGGAAAGUCGGAGGUUCGAAUCCUUCACGGCCCGCCA
rnacentral:tRNA from 1 species